rnacentral:sRNA from 1 species
AUUUUGGUAGUAUUGUCAUUCUCUAGAAGUGGGGAUGUAAUGUACAGCAUUUCACACAUUUACUGUCUAAGAAACCCUGUUUUGGAGUAAUGCCUAUAGACGUCUGAAGGAACACUAGUGUUACCUGGAACUCAGUUUGGGAGAUGCUGCUUUAAGGAAUUGACUCUAUUGUUUGUACUCUCAGUUUUGUUUUUUUGAUGUACCUCACAGAGCAGAAUAGGCCAAUUUAAAAGAAAAGGUAUUUCUAAAUUCUUAAUACUUAUUCCUAAGACUGAUAAAGAUCCUCUACAGGUAAAUAUGAGAAGUGGUAAAAUGUAAAAACCUGUUUUAAAAUAUUUUAUGAUUGGUCUGUUUUCUGUACAUUGCCUUUUUGAUUGGAUUGUAAGUCAGAAAGGUUCAAAACUGUGGAGUGAAUUUUAAAAGAAAAAAAAUCUUGAGAAGUUGUAGAAUUUAAUAUUUACCUAAUUAACAGAAUGUUAACCUUUUUCUUUUAGAGUUUUGUGAAAGAGCAGUUAGAAGAAUGUAGGAAGUCUGAUGCAGAGCAAUAUCUCAAAAAUCUCUAUGAUCUCUAUACAAGUGUCUUCAUGUUGGGAGAAGGUUUUUCCAAAGUUACCGUAAUGGGGAAGUCCAUCUCAACAACAACACUGUUAUGA